GAUGAACGCUGGCGGCGUGCCUAAUACAUGCAAGUCGAGCGAACGGACGAGAAGCUUGCUUUUCUGAUGUUAGCGGCGGACGGGUGAGUAACACGUGGAUAACCUACCUAUAAGACUGGGAUAACUUCGGGAAACCGGAGCUAAUACCGGAUAAUAUUUUGAACCGCAUGGUUCAAAAGUGAAAGACGGUCUUGCUGUCACUUAUAGAUGGAUCCGCGCUGCAUUAGCUAGUUGGUAAGGUAACGGCUUACCAAGGCACCGAUGCAUAGCCGACCUGAGAGGGUGAUCGGCCACACUGGAACUGAGACAAGGUCCAGACUCCUAAGGGAGGCAGCAGUAGGGAAUCUUCAGCAAUGGGCGAAAGCCUGACGGAGCAACGCCGCGUGAGUGAUGAAGGUCUUCGGAUCGUAAAACUCUGUUAUUAGGGAAGAACAUAUGUGUAAGUAACUGUGCACAUCUUGACGGUACCUAAUCAGAAAGCCACGGCUAACUACGUG
rnacentral:rRNA from 1 species